AGUCGGAUAGCUCAGAGGUAGAGCAAUGUCUUGAUAAGGCAUGGGUCGCCGGUUCGAUCCCGGCUCCGGCUA